ensembl:lncRNA
UUGUCAAGGAACAGUGGAAUAAAGCUGCCAAAUCAUGAGAGGACGUGCCUUCUGGAUACGAUUCUGUGACCGUAUAAAUAUCACUGAUAAAUGAAGAGUUCCACGAUCGUUUAGUCCAUCGUGCGCCACCGAUUCACAGAGAGCACGGUUACAUAAGGACCAUAAAAUGCUGAGGAUGAGCACCGGCAAUCCAGCACAGAGGGAAUGCGCGAGACAGAGUGAAAUCAGAAGUUUAUUCAUGAGCCGGAGCAGGCGCUCGGCUCCCACGUGGCAGGAGGGGGAUUUCCUAGUUUCUACACACGUGUGUGAGCCUUAUUCUACACUGGGUCACAGGGAGCCUGGAGCCUAUCCUAGGGGACUUGGGGCACAAGGCUUGGGACAACCCAUAGCAGGACACAAUCCCACACACACACUACAGAC